UACGAAGGGUGCAAGCGUUACUCGGAAUUACUGGGCGUAAAGGGUGCGUAGGUGGUCGUUUUAAGUCCGUUGUGAAAUCCCUGGGCUCAACCUGGGAAUGGCAGUGGAUACUGGACGGCUAGAAUGCGGUAGAGGGUAGUGGAAUUCCCGGUGUAGCAGUGAAAUGCGUAGAGAUCGGGAGGAACAUCAGUUGCGAAGGCGGCUCUCUGGACCAGCACUGACACUGAGGCACGAAAGCGUGGGGAGCAAACAGGG
rnacentral:rRNA from 1 species